UACGUAGGGGGCAAGCGUUGUCCGGAAUCAUUGGGCGUAAAGCGCGUGUAGGCGGCUCGAUAAGUCUGCUGUGAAAGUCCAAGGCUCAACCUUGGGAUGCCGGUGGAUACUGUCGAGCUCGAGUCCGGAAGAGGAGUGUGGAAUUCCUGGUGUAGCGGUGAAAUGCGUAGAGAUCCGGAAGAACACCGGUGGCGAAGGCGGCCUGCUGGGCUAUGGCUGACACUGAGGCGCGACAGCGUGGGGAGCAAACAGG
rnacentral:rRNA from 1 species